AACUUUGUCCAAAAGUUUCCUGCGCAAUAGACAGUACGAAGAUAAUUUUGCGUUUUCAUGACGUUUUGUCUGUUGAAAAUUUUUGCAUCCACAAUAUUAUUCUUAUCGUGAUAUGCGUAUUAGGAAAGAUCAAUCUUUUUGGUCAUCUUUUAAGAACUCGAGCCGAAUGAUUUUUUGUACCUUCGUGGUGUAUUGGUCUAAUGAAUCUCGAGUGUCAGAGGGUGCCUAUAUCU
rnacentral:snoRNA from 1 species